GUCGAGAUAACAUCCGCGUCUCUUUCCGUGAAAAUAAUGUUCUCACGGCUCCCGUCGAAAUAACGACAGGGAACAACUCGCUUGGUCUGCUUAGUUUCGUCUAGUUUCGUCUGUUCCAUGCGCCGUUAUGACAUGAUGGCCCGAGUUGCUGACUGAUCUUUCUUCAGCGGGAGAACAAUUGAUGUAAGAGCGCAGGAUUUUUCCGGGCCGUUAUGAGACGCCGCCGGUGACUCCUCAGCCCGUGUCGCAGCUGCCAGCACCGAUUUUUCCAGCGCAGCCAUCAUGGCAGGUCGGGGUGCGAGGGAGAAUGGAAGACCUGGACACCCGUCGGACACCUUCCAGCUGGAAGCACCGGAGAGUGCCGAGGAAGACGAGCACGGCUACGUCCACCCGUCUCGACUUGACGUAGGUGGCCCGGAGGCGCGACGGCCCAGCGUCCCCUUCCACACCCGCAACCUCAUCCGGCAGCUGCCCUCACGGAAUC